CGAGGGGCGCCGGAGACUCGAGACGCGGCCGGGAAGGGACGAGGGGCAGCUCAGUAGGGCGCCCGCUCCAGCCGGAGAGCCGCGGUGACCGCCGAGAUGCUGCUGCGCGCUGUGACUGCCUUUGCCCGCGGCCGCCGCGAGGGAAACCGCCUGGAGCAGCUGGGAAGAGUCCCUGGGCCUCGGAAGAUUUCCAAAGAAUCCAGUUUUGCUAAGUGUCAUCACCUGACCCAACCAAAAGACAUAUUGGUCUAGGUUCUCAGGCCAGUAAGGGUCAUUACAGUUGGUAUUAUAGAUCCUGUCAAAAUCACAUGUCCUGGGUCUCCUACCAGGGUUUUUUCUGCAGUGAGCAAUGGCAUCGUCUGGGCUGAGUGUAAAGGAGAAGGAGCUGUCAUCAACCCCACGCCCACCCUUUCUGACACAUUGGUACUGUUUUCGUCAGAGGGAUGAAGUCAGACGGUUGGCCCUCUCAUCUUUGGUGACUACAUGGGCAGCUCUAUCUCGGGGUUCAGGCACUUGGCGGUCACCUUAUUUAAUAAUCGAUAUCUAUUAAAAAUUUUACUUUA